AGCUGCCAUCAGAAUGAAUUAUUAGAAAAUAAUUUUGUCACGGUUCCUUCAGACCAGAGUAAACUCCAAUCAUCCGAAACUCAAAACCCUUGCGCAAAAUUUUCAAUCAUCAUUUGGCAACUUAUUCAAUCAAACCAACAACGAAAAUAAAC
rnacentral:sRNA from 1 species